GGAUGUGAGGGCGAUCUGGCUGCGACAUCUGUCACCCCAUUGAUCCGCCAGGGUUGAUUCGGCUGAUCUGGCUGGCUAGGCGGGUGUCCCCUUCCUCCCUCACCGCUCCAUGUGCGUCCCUCCCGAAGCUGCGCGCUCGGUGGAAGAGGACGACCAUCCCAGAUAGAAGGAGUGUACCGUUCUUCGGUCAAGGGUAUACGAUAGCUGCGCUCCCCUGCUAGAACCUCCAAACAAGCUCAAGGAUCAUUUGCAACAUAGCACAUUUAGGGCUGCUUUUGGUCCAUCUCCACUAGGGAUUGGUGCUCUUCUCCAUCUCAGAAGCUUUGCCUUUAGU